rnacentral:snRNA from 1 species
AGAUUUCUCUUUCAAUCUGGCUGAGAUUUCUGUCACCCACCCCAUUGAUCUCCAGGGUUGCUUCAGCUGAUUUGGCUGGCUACUCAAGUGUCCCCAUUCCUACCUCAGGGCUCCACGUGUGCCCCUCCCAAAGCUGAGGUUAUAAGAGUAGUUACACUUGCUUGCUAGAACCUCCAAACAAGCUCUUAUUUUAUCAUUGUUAUUCCUACUAAGAUUAUUCAUUAGUAUUAAUUCAAUAAUUUCAUUCAUUUUCAUUGGCACAAUUUUAAAUCUGUGUUGUUU